rnacentral:rRNA from 1 species
GAUGAACGCUAGCGGGAGGCUUAACACAUGCAAGUCGAGCGGGAAGGGUAGCAAUACCCUGAGAGCGGCGCACGGGUGCGUAACGCGUAUGCAACCUGCCUUAUACAGGGGGAUAGCCCAUGGAAACGUGGAUUAAUAUCCCAUAGGAUUACGGAGUCGCAUGAUUUUGUGAUUAAAACUACGGUGGUAUAAGAUGGGCAUGCGUCUGAUUAGGUAGUUGGUAGGGUAACGGCCUACCAAGCCGACGAUCAGUAGGGGUUCUGAGAGGAUUACCCCCCACACUGGUACUGAGACACGGACCAGACUCCUACGGGAGGCAG